rnacentral:rRNA from 1 species
GCCAGACUCCUACGGGAGGCAGCAGUCGGGAAUAUUGCGCAAUGGAGGGAACUCUGACGCAGUGACGCCGCGUAUAGGAAGAAGGUUUUCGGAUUGUAAACUAUUGUCGUUAGGGAAGAAAAAAGACAGUACCUAAGGAGGAAGCCCCGGCUAACUAUGUGCCAGCAGCCGCGGUAAUACAUAGGGGGCAAGCGUUAUCCGGAAUUAUUGGGUGUAAAGGGUGCGUAGACGGGAUAACAAGUUGGUUGUGAAACCCCUCGGCUCAACUGAGGAACUGCAACCAAAACUAUUAUUCUUGAGUGCAGGAGAGGAAAGUGGAAUUCCUAGUGUAGCGGUGAAAUGCGUAGAUAUUAGGAAGAACACCGGUGGCGAAGGCGACUUUCUGGACUGUAACUGACGUUGAGGCACGAAAGUGUGGGGAGCAAACAGGAUUAGAUACCCCUGUACA